rnacentral:rRNA from 1 species
UACGAAGGGGGCUAGCGUUGUUCGGACUCACAGGGCGUAAAGCGCACGCAGGCGGAUCGAUAAGUCGGGGGUGAAAGCCCGGGGCUCAACCUCGGAAUUGCCUUCGAUACUGUCGGUCUCGAGUCCGGGAGAGGUGAGUGGAAUUCCUAGUGUAGAGGUGAAAUUCGUAGAUAAUAGGAAGAACACCAGUGGCGAAGGCGGCUCACUGGCCCGGUACUGACGCUCAGGUGCGAAAGCGUGGGGAGCAAACAGG